GGGGACGCUCCGGGGCGAGGAGUUUUCGGUCUGCAGUCACCCGGCCCCGGGAGCCAAGCUAGAGGAGGAAGACGGGCCGGGACAGGGGUGGUGCUCGCCAGGCCCCCUACAACCUGGGCACCCGCUAGCUCUUUCGUCCCCGCACCCCGACGCUGGGCACACAACUCCGGCUGCUUCCCGAGCGCCGCUCCGGGAGCGAGCACAUCCCUGCAGCUGUCUGCCGGACAGGUCUUGGGGGACGGCGGCCCCUUUUCUGCAGCGGGUGGGGCGAGAAGCUACGGGAUGUGGAGCUUCCAGAUAAGGGAGUGUCCCUGCCCGCCGCACUGCAAGGGCGGCUGAGCGAUUAGGCGCGGCUAGCGGAACCGAGCGGCGGUGGCUGGGCUUUCCCCACGCUCCCGUCACUAGUUAAGCCGCCAGCCCCGUGGCAGCCGCUCCACAGCCCACUCCCGGGCCUGGGCUCUGACCCGAACGGCUGGCUCCGCCCUGUUGCACCUCAUAACAUCUCCCGCUGCAAACCGUCCAAUCCGGUGACGCUACGACAGUAUGCGACCCAAUCAAGGGCUACCGCUCAAGCCUUCUACCCCGCCCCUCAGCCUCCCCUUCCCACUCCAUCUCGGGAGGUGGCUCACCAGCUCUGAUCCCUAGAGGAGCCUCUAGCUCUGGGGAUAGUGCUUGGCACCUCUUCACCACCCCACCCCUGUCCUCUCCCCGUCUUAUGCACACCCCCCCUCCAGGUCUCUGCCCUGCUGAUGCUGUUGAGGGUCCUUUCGAUCCUCAUUGACAGCUUUUGUGUCUGCCACCAUCCUGAGAGAACAGAACAAAAACCAAGAUGCUGUGGAACGUGUUACCUUUUU
ensembl:antisense Gm13375 predicted gene 13375